CUUGGAUCCCAUUGUUCUUUUACAGUUUCUGGAGAUUUUGAGGGUUUUAGCAGGGCUUUGACGACAUUUUUUUUUAUCAUUGUUAGAAUUAUUCUUUACCCUUUCUAUACAAAAUUUAUAGGUCAACGAAUUUAUUUAGUUAUUUGUAAAAAAACAUAUAAGAAACGAUAAACAAAGAAAAUUGCCUUUUGUCUCCUUUUCUUUUCCGAUUCCAUCUAUUCAGUCAACCCACUGCUGUCUGCUACCUCAGAUCUCUUUUCCUUUUUCUUUACUUAUAUUACUCCUAUAGAAGAGUAGAUAUGGAACUCAAAAACAGAGUAGAAGAAGAGAACUGUUUCAUGAACGAAGCUUUGCUGCUUGCUACCAUGUACAUCCUUGGUCUGCCAGGGGAUGUGCAUUUGACAGAUGGCUCUGUUUAUUCUGGAAUCUUCCACACUGCUGCUGUUGAGAAAGAAUUUGGUACUGUUUUGUAGAAAGCAAAAUUGAGUAAAAAGGGAAGAUGUGCUACCAAUAUUGCAAAUGGCAGUGUAUUAGAGACACCUGUAAUCCUUGCUGGUGAUCUUGUUCAAGUUGUUGCCAAGGUAUAUAAUCAUUCUUAUAGCCUUUUCUCAAGUCUCAGGGAUUUUAUUUGGUUGAUGUAACAUUGAACAAUCUGUUAGCUAUUAAUUGUUGUUGUAUAUAGGGAGUUCCACUUCCUUUUGAUGGUUUUGCCGGAAAUAUAAGUCAUGGUAAUGAAGAAGCUGCUUUUGAAAUUCUAUCUUUUUCUGCCAAUCCACUGAAUGUGACCAGGAAGUUCAAUAAGUCUACCAUGGAUAAAAGUAAAAGUAAUAGGAAAGGGUAGGUGAUUGAAAUCUGUGUUUUAAGGAUAAAGAAUUUUUGGUUUUAAUCUUAUUAUUUUUUGGCUAGUA